GGUGCGCCGCAGGGGACGAAUCCCAACCACUCAAUCCCCUUCCCCCUGCGCACACGGGCAAUGCGUGCCCUGGCGAUGACGAUUGGGGCACCACGGUGGGGUUCUUCACUGCACUGGGCUCGCUGUCGCUCUAGAAACGUCGGCAGCAGGGCGCAUGGAGUAGUGUGCCCGGGUUCGGCUGUGCCAUCGGCCUGGGACGUUUCCAGGAGCGAGGCUGUGAUAAGCACGGCCAGGGAAAGCACAGGGGACCAGUAGCAAUGUCAGCUACUUGAUCCAUCUUGAAACACAGCUGGAGGGUAAAGCUUGUGAGAGUCGGCGGCUUAUGUGAAGGUGGCUCACCUGAAAGCUAGCUUGGCCCACCUGCUGCUGCUGCUCCUUCAAGAACCCCAAUUGCUAAAACCAUCACUAUGCAGAUGAAUGGGGGUGGUGAUGGUGGCAUCCUUAGUUUCCUGUCAGAGUAUACCAGGUUUUAUUCAUUCCAAGAGUGGGCUGUAUCACAUGAUCAAGUCUCUGACAGCCGUCUGCCCAUGUGGAACACAGAGGACAAGGAGCCCACACUAGGGAUGUGGACUGCCAUCUUCAAGACUGCCACCCAUCUGGGGGAAGUGAAGUCAAGGGAAAUUUUCCAUUUAAGUGCC